UACGUAGGCAGCAAGCGUUGUCCGGAAUUACUGGGCGUAAAGAGCUCGUAGGUGGUUUGUCGCGUUGUUCGUGAAAACUCACAACUCAAUUGUGGGCGUGCGGGCGAUACGGGCAGACUGGAGUACUGCAGGGGAGACUGGAAUUCCUGGUGUAGCGGUGGAAUGCGCAGAUAUCAGGAGGAACACCGGUGGCGAAGGCGGGUCUCUGGGCAGUAACUGACGCUGAGGAGCGAAAGCGUGGGGAGCGAACAGG
rnacentral:rRNA from 1 species